ensembl:lncRNA
CGUCGCGGCUCUCCGGGGCCGAGCUCUGGGGUGCCCGGACCGGGUCGACCAGCAUCUCCCCGUGCCCCUGUGGCCGCGGAGAAGGACCGGCCGGACCCUCCCUGGGCCGGGCCGCCGCGGUGGGCAGGGAGAGGGUCUUCCCUGCCCGGAGCGCCUGGACUCGGGCUCGGCGGUCCGGACUCCUCCUGGGCCGCCCUCAGGAGCGUUUGCUUCGCCCUCGGCCCCGCUCCGGAGGUGGGGACCCGCCCGCCGGAGUCGUGAGGGUUGACGGGGAGAGGCGGGCGCGUGUGCGGCCGCCCCACCCCAACCCGUGGGGUCCGGUCGCCCGAGGCGUCUCCUGGCACACAUGCUGUUUCUUUUUCAAAGUCCCGAUGGGUCCGGAGACGUGGAUGGACCGGACCCUGCUUCCGCGGGUGGCCGGGGAGGGCGCGCCCGACCCUUCAGCGUGCCUUCGUGGGUCUCGGUCGUCGGAUGCGACUUUGUCUCACCCCUCCCCACCUCCCUGAAUCCCGGUCAGGAGGUGGGGACCGGCUCGGGCCGUCCUGGGUGCCCCAUCUAGGACGGUCUGGGUCCCGCCCGGGCGCGGUCCCUGGUCGGGGCCCGCUCGUCUCGUUGGAGGCGCCGCGCUGACGGUUCUUCCUUCUUGUUUCUUGAUGCUCAUCGAAGCCAAAUCCCCGUUCGGAGACUCCGACGGACCGGUACCCCUACCCGUGUGGGCGAAGCGGGAGAGGGCGCCCCCGGCCAGCUCCCUCUCCCUUGGUGGGUGUCCGCGCCCCCACUUUGGCCAUCGCGCGCCCCCUCCCCCUGCUCCCCUUCCCCCGGUCGACCAGAUGACUCCCCCCCCCCCCCCCCCCCCCCGCCACGAGAGCUCCGGGCCUGGUGUUUAUGGGGUAGCGCUGGGGACAGGUGGCCGGGCCAAGGUUCCGGGGGUCCUCCAUGCGAGUCGUGGAUGGGCCCCGCUGUCGGCUGCUGUCGUUUCGUCGCCCUUAAUGGGCCUUUUUUACCACCAGGUAAGUGCUGACACGGUCUGCUUCGGUGUCUGCCGCCGAGGAAACUUUGGGUCUCUGGAUGUACGCGGGGCUCUGGGCCUUCGGGCCGCCAGCUCUGGUCGCCGGUUCGGCCCUUGCCGCUGGAGCCGCCCGCCUGGGCCUGUGCGCCGGCUCCUGUGUGGCGUUGUCUGGCUGACCCGACUCGUGGUGCCACCUCCGGUCUCUGGGCGACCCGAGGGCGGCGGGGCGAGGCGCCGUGGGUCUUCUACCCUGUGCGCUCCCCGCUGCGGGCACCCGGUGAAGGCUGAGAUGCGACCCCCGCCCUGUGGGCUCCGUGCCACGUGUCAGGCGUUCUCGAACCUCCUGGGGUCGUGGGCCGCUCUCGCCUGAGGCGAGGUGGGGGGCGGAGGUUGCCGGUGAGGCUUAAAGCGGGCCCCUCUGGUGACUGUCCUCGCCGUGCCUUCCCCCCGCUCCACCUUGGCUCAUCCGAUCGAUGUGGUGUGGUCGUGCUCUCCCGGGCCGGGCCUAAGCCGUGCCAGACGAGGGACAGGUGUUCCCGGUGAACGUGUCUGCUCUUCUCGGUCUGUCCGCGGGGCCCCUCGCCUGACUUUUCCCCCCUGGCCGUCGGGGAGGGGGAGGAAGGCGGGGGCUGGGUUGCGGCCUCUGGCCCUGACCUUCGGUCUCCUGUCCCCCGCCUCGGGGGGCGUCGGUGGGGGCCGUGGGUCUUCUGACACAGCAGAUGCUCUCGCUUCGCCUUCCCGGCGUGUGCUCCGCGAGCGGCCCUCCCCGCGGUGGGGAGGGCUGUACCGCUGCUGCGCUGCGCCCCCCCCCGCGCGGGUGCGCGAGCGUGCCUCGUUGGACCCUCGGUGGUGCCCCUGGAGCGCUCCAGGUCGUCGCUCAGGUGCCUGAGGCCGAGCGGUGGUGUCGUUUCCCUUAACCCCGGUGUCCUCCUCGGGUCCCCACCGCGGUGGUGUGUGUGUGUCCCGUGAGUGGGCUCUCUUUUGGGGGGGGUCGAGGCGGUAGGAGAGGCGUGCCUGUUCCCCUCGUCGUCGAGGCUGACGGGUGAGGCCUUGCAGGGGACGGGACGCGGGCUCUGCGCUGGCCCCGGCCACGCAGACGCUCCUGUGUUGGUGCUCCGCCUACCUGUACCGCAGACCCCUCCCACCCCAGCUGAGGACUGGUGGCUCGUGGAGCGCCUCCGUGGGCCCGAAGGAGAGAGACGAUCCGGGUGAGGGGCGGCGAGCCCUCGGUGAGAAAGCCUUCUCUAGCGAUCCGAGAGGGAGCCUUGGGGUAUCGGACCCCCCAGCUGCUGCCCCUCCUGCGUGCGCAGUGGCCGCCGUGGCGGCUGCCAAGAGCGCGUGGGCAGAACACCCCGCCCCCCACCUCCCCUCUGGGGGCGGUGGGGGGCGGGUGCGCCGGCCCCGCGGUGGGGCCGUGUGCCGCUCGUUGCCUACCGCGGCCCGCGCCUCCCCGCUUCGAGUUGGGGGAGGGUCCCGCUGGGCCCCGCCGGGCGUCCGGCAGGUGGGGGGGACCGGAGCGUGCGUGCGCCGCGUGUGCGCGCGGUCGGCCCCCGCGGUGUGGUGAGCCUUGGGGCAAAGGGGGGAAGGUGUUGGGGGCGCGACGUCCGGUCGGCCCCGGCUUCCCCAGCCCCGCAGCCGUGGUGCGGGAGAGCCUAUCGCGCCCGCCCUCUCCCCACGAGCCGCAGCCGGUGGCGGCGUGCGGUCGCGGUCGGGGCCGCCUCGCUCGAGAGCGUGAUCCCCAGGAUGUCGAGCCUCGGGGUGGCAGACUUAGAUCGGAAGACGGAUCUGUCGAGGACGGAUGGCGGAAGAUGGGUUUGGGCGGCUCGCCGGCCCUGGCGGCGGGGCCGGGUCGUGGGGGCCCGCUCUGGGGCUGGCCGGGACCGGUCGGCGUCCCAGGCGUGUCGCGGGACCGCCCUCGUGUGUGGGUGGCGGUGGGACCCCGCGCUGGUUUUCCUGGUGGCCCGGCCGUGUUCCCGGUGUCUUUGUGGUCCCCGGAUGGCGCCCGCGGCCCUGUCCCGCGGCCCCCGCCGUGCGUGCUUGCCGGCCCCUCCCCGCCGCUGCCGGCCUCUCCUCCUCGUCCCGCGCGUGCGACCGCCCCGCGCUCCCUUCCCCUGUCUGGGGCCGAGCCGGCCUCGCCUCAUGUGGGUGUCGUCCCCCGGCCUCCGUCGGCCGGUGGCGUCCCCGAGGCGGGGCGGCGCGCGGGGAGCUUUGCGCGUGUGGGGGACGUGGGGGCCGCCGGUGCGCGGCGGGAGAGCGUUCUCCCUGGCCGGCUUGCGGCUCUCGGGUGUGUGUUGGUGGCGGUGGGCGUGAGCCCCCGUGAGGGUGCCGGGGGGGCGCCAGUCCGUCGUCCCGGGCGUGCGGUGGGACCGUCCCUGUGCUGGGAGGCCUCCGGCGGUGAGAUCCCGCGGUGGGCCCUGGCGGCCGACUCGCGCUUCCCCCUGCCCCAGCACGGGUCGCUUUGAGCCAUGCCCCUCGCGGUGGCGCGCGGCCGCCCCACCAACACCGCCCCUGUUCCGUGGCGUUGGCCUCGCGUGGCCGCACCCCGUCGGUGCUCCUCUCCGUCUGUCCGUCCGCCUCAGUCCGCUCGCCGUCUGCUGCCUCCCGGGGCCGCGCCCUGGUGUGUCUCGCUUCCGGGCCCGCCGCGGUCCCGAUCCGUUGCCCGUUUCGCCGCCGCCUGUCCGUCGCCGCCGUCGCGUGCUGGACGAGGGGGAGCUCCCGUGAUCUCCCCCCUCCCCCGCCCCGCCGCGGCCCCCCGCUCCGGUGCGCUCGCCCGAGCGCGGGUCGGGUCCCCGGUCUUGCCCACCGCGGGCCGGUCGCCGUGUCCUCGCCGGCCGGCGUCCCCCGCCCCUCUGGGGCGGGUGUGACGGCCGGACGCCGAGGGCGCGCGUCGGCCGUCCGCGGUGUGGCCUUGGCCGUGGUGGAGUCCCCCCCGGGGCGGGCGGGCUCGCGGUGGGGGGGGGCGGGUGCGGGGGUGGAGGGAGAGGGGGCUCCGCCGCCCUCUCCCUCCCCCUCCUCGGCCCUCCGCGCGGUGGCGGCGGUGCGCUGCGACCCUCGUGGACCGAGAGCGUGCGCGCGAUCGGGCGUCCCCGCCGCGGCGCGGGACGGGGGGCGCGGCCGGGCCUCCCGGCCGGGCGAGCGCCCUCCCGCCACCCCCCCUCCCCCCUGGCUCCCUCGCCUCGCGGGUCUUCCGGCGCGCGUGCCGCGUCCGUGGCCUCUCCGCCCCGCCCCGCUUUCCCGGCACGCCCGGCUCCUCGUGCUCGCGCCCCUACCUGGUUGAUCCUGCCAGUAGCAUAUGCUUGUCUCAAAGAUUAAGCCAUGCAUGUCUAAGUACGCACGGCCGGUACAGUGAAACUGCGAAUGGCUCAUUAAAUCAGUUAUGGUUCCUUUGGUCGCUCGCUCCUCUCCUACUUGGAUAACUGUGGUAAUUCUAGAGCUAAUACAUGCCGACGGGCGCUGACCCCCUUCGCGGGGGGGAUGCGUGCAUUUAUCAGAUCAAAACCAACCCGGUCAGCCUCCUCCCGGCCCCGGCCGGGGGGCGGGCGCCGGCGGCUUUGGUGACUCUAGAUAACCUCGGGCCGAUCGCACGCCCCCCGUGGCGGCGACGACCCAUUCGAACGUCAACCCGGCAUGAUGGAGCCCGGCCAGGUGUGUGCUCAGAGGCCCACCUAGAUUCGAACUCCAGUUCCCGGAGG